GGGGGGGCUAGGAUGAAAUUUGAAAAAAAAGGCAGGACAGGAUUUUGAGUAAAAAUAAAAGGCAGGAUGAGUAACUUGGAAAAAAAAAGGCAGGAUGGCAAUUGUUGUAAAAAGGUCUGGAUAAGCUAAGAAAAAAAAAGGCAGGACCGAAUAGACUGAAAAAUAAAAAGGCUGGACAGAGAUUACAAAUAAAAAAAAAGGCAGGACACAAUUUUUCAUCCUAGCCCCCCCCCCCCCAUAAAAAUCAAAUGGUAGCUCCCUAAUU
rnacentral:lncRNA from 1 species